rnacentral:rRNA from 1 species
AUUGAACGCUGGCGGCAGGCCUAACACAUGCAAGUCGAACGGUAACAGGAAGCAGCUUGCUGCUUUGCUGACGAGUGGCGGACGGGUGAGUAAUGUCUGGGAAACUGCCCGAUGGAGGGGGAUAACUACUGGAAACGGUAGCUAAUACCGCAUAACGUCGCAAGACCAAAGAGGGGGACCUUAGGGCCUCUUGCCAUCGGAUGUGCCCAGAUGGGAUUAGCUAGUAGGUGGGGUAACGGCUCACCUAGGCGACGAUCCCUAGCUGGUCUGAGAGGAUGACCAGCCACACUGGAACUGGGACACGGUCCAGACUCCUACGGGAGGCAGCAGUGGGGAAUAUGGCACAAUGGGCGCAAGCCUGAUGCAGCAAUGCCGCGUGUAUGAAGAAGGCCUUCGGGUUGUAAAGUACUUUCAGCGGGGAGGAAGGGAGUAAAGUUAAUACCUUUGCUCAUUGACGUUACCCGCAGAAGAAGCACCGGCUAACUCCGUG